AGAUGAUACAGCUGACAUCUUUUUCCCAGGGUUGAAAUGUUUAUUACUAGAGGCCAUGCAUUUAUGGGCCCAUUGCCAGGACUCACACUGCCUUGUCAAUGCUACUCUACUCCCUUUGGCGUUCCUCUGGGCGGGAAGUGGAGAGUCAAGCUCACUGACCAUUGGCAUCGAGGAGUCCUGCAGUGAGUUACUGCAUGAGAAGAAAGCAUGAUGUAUGUGGGGUGCCCUGAUGAUGUAUGAUGCUUUCCUUUGACAAUGCACCAUGUAGAUGUGUUCGAUGUUGGGGGAGCUUUACUUGUGUUGGUCUGCGCUGUAUCCAUUGAAUUUUGGAGGAUUUUCCGUUCAAGGGCAUUGUUGUUUGGACACCAGACUGUGAUACAGCAAUCAACGUACUCUCCACUACAUACAUAUCUAUAAAAGUUGAUCAAACUUUUCGAUGUCAUGCUGAACUUUAGCAAACUCCUAAAGAAGUGGAGGUGCUGCCGUGCUUUCUUUGGAAUUGCACUUAUGUGCUGGGCCCAGGACAGGUCAUCUGAAAUGAUAAGACUGAGGAAUUUAAAGUUGCUGACACCCUCCACCUCAGAUCUCCCAAUAAGGACUGUCUCAUGGAUGUCUAGUUUCCGUCUCCUGAUGUCAAUAAUAAUCAGCUCCUUGGUCUUACUGCCAUCGAGUAAGGAAUCGUUGUCGUGGCAUCACUCAGCCAGAUUUUCAAUCUUUUGCAUUGCUUUCGACCUUACUGUUCUGAUUUUGUUCUUCCUUGCAAAAUUUUGUAUAAUUUUUGGUUAAUUUCUGUUUUUUUUUCAUAAAUGCGGCUUAUCUGAUGUUCUGUGCCCAUGAUGUAGAUGCAAGAAAAUUUAUCAUCGCACCUAUCAAUACACGUUCUUGUGCAUAUACCAAUAAAGUUGAUCUUGACUUUGAAUACUUUAAUUAAAGUCUUCUUGGUUACCAAGAAAACAACCAGUCUGUCGAAUCUUUUCUCAUAGCUCCAGCUUUCCAGUCUUAUCAAUUUUUUUUUUUGAAGUUGGAAAUGUUAUGCAACA